GACGAACGCUGGCGGCGUGCCUAAUACAUGCCAGUAGAACGCACAGUUUAUACCGUAGCUUGCUACACCAUAGACUGUGAGUUGCGAACGGGUGAGUAACGUGUAGGUAACCUGCCUGGUAGCGGGGGAUAACUAUUGGAAACGAUAGCUAAUACCGCAUAAUAUUAAUUAUUGCAUGAUAAUUGAUUGAAAGAUGCAACUGCAUCACUACCAGAUGGACCUGCGUUGUAUUAGCUAGUAGGUGAGGUAACGGCUCACCUAGGCGACGAUACAUAGCCGACCUGAGAGGGUGAUCGGCCACACUGGGACUGAGACACGGCCCAGACUCCUACGGGAGGCAGCAGUAGGGAAUCUUCGGCAAUGGACGAAAGUCUGACCGAGCAACGCCGCGUGAGUGAAGAAGGUUUUCGGAUCGUAAAGCUCUGUUGUAAGAGAAGAACGGGUGUGAGAGUGGAAAGUUCACACUGUGACGGUAUCUUACCAGAAAGGGACGGCUAACUACGUG
rnacentral:rRNA from 1 species